rnacentral:tRNA from 1 species
CGGGCUAUGGCGCAGUUUGGUAGCGCGCUACACUGGGGGUGUAGAGGUCUUCGGUUCAAAUCCGGAUAGCCCGACCA